AUUCCAGCUCCAAUAGCGUAUAUUAAAGUUGUUGUGGUUAAAAAGCUCGUAGUUGGAUCUCGGCGGUCUGAGGGCGGUUCGCUUCAGAGCGCUACUGCCCUAUAGACCGUAGUUUUGCCAGAGGUCUCAGGGUGCUCUUAACCGAGUGUCUUGCGAUGCUGGCAGGUUUACUUUGAAAAAAUUUGAGUGCUCAAAGCAGGCUUUUACGCCUGAAUAUUCGUGCAUGGAAUAAUAGAAUAGGAAGUCGUUUCUAUUUUGUUGGUUUUCGGAAAUCGACUUAAUGAUUAAUAGGGACAGUCGGGGGCAUUUGUAUUCAAACGACAGAGGUGAAAUUCUUGGACCGUUUGAAGACAAACUACUGCGAAAGCAUUUGCCAAGAAUGUUUUCAUCA
rnacentral:rRNA from 1 species